rnacentral:rRNA from 1 species
UCCCGUUGAUCCUGCGGGAGACUGCUGCUAUUGGGAUUCGAUAAGCCAUGCAAGUCGGAGGGCUCCGCAAGGAGCACAGGCGUAAGGCUCAGUAACACGUCGAUAAUCUAACUUACGGUCUGGGAUAACCUUGGGAAACUGAGGCUAAAACCGGAUAGUGGAUUGGUGCUGGAAUGCUCUUUCCGUUAAAAGCAAUGCCGUAAGAUGAGUCGGCGGCUGAUUAGGCUGUUGGUGAGGUAAAGGCUCACCAAACCUAAGAUCAGUAGGGGGAAUGAGAGUUCACGCCCCGAGAAGGGCACUGAGAUAAGGGCCCUAGCCCUAAGGGGUGCAGCAGGCUAGAAUCCUUUACAAUGCGCGAAAGCGUGAUAAGGGGAUCCCAAGUGCUUAGUUUUUAACUAGGCUUUUGCCAAGCAUAAAUACCUUGGCGAAUAAGGGGUGGGUAAGACCGGUGCCAGCCGCCGCGGUAACACCGGCGCCCCAAGUGGUGGUCACAUUUAUUGGGUCUAAAGCGUCUGUAGCCGACUCGAAAAGUCUUUUGUGAAAUUGUCAGGCUCAACCUAACAGCGUGCGAAAGAAACUUUCGAGUUAGGAACUGGGAGGGGUCAAGAGAACUCCUUGGGAAGCGGUAAAAUGUUUUAAUCCUUGGAGGACUACCUAUGGCGUAGGCACUUGACCAGAACAUAUUCGACGGUGAGAGACGAAAGCGGGGGGAGCGAUCAGGAUUAGAUACCCUAGUAGUCCCCGCUGUAAACGCUGCGAGCUAUGUGUUGCAUGCUCUUCGUGAACAUGCAGUGCCGGAGCGAAGGCGUUAAGCUCGCCACCUGGGAAAUACGGCCGCAAGACUGAAACUUAAAGGAAUUGGCGGGGGCGCGCUACCAGGGGUGACGCGUGCGGUUUAAUUUAACUCUACCCAGAAAAUCUCACCAGCAGCGACGGCAGAAUGAAGGUCAGAUUGAAGGUCUUACCUAACAAGCCGAGAGAUGUUGCAUGGCCGCCGUCAGUUCGUGCCGUAAGGUGUCCUGUUAAGUCAGGUAACGAACAAGACCUGUGUUUGCAGUUGCUAGCGACUAAACUUUAGGAUCGAGCACACUGCAGAGACUGCCUUCGUAAGGAGGAGGAGGGUGCAGGCAACGGUAGGUCUGUAUGGCUCGAAUCUGCUGGGCUACACGCGCGCGGCAAUGGUAGGGACAAUGGGAUGCAACUCCGAAAGGAGAAGCCAAACCUCGAAACCCUAUCCUAGUUCAGAUUGAGGGCUGUAAUUCGCCCUCAUGACGCCGGAAUCCCUAGUAAUCGGGUGUCAACAACGCCCGGUGAAUACGUCAACGUGCCUUGCACACACUGCCCGUCACUCCAACCGAGCAGGGUUUAGAUGAGGAUUGGUCUUUAAUCACUCCGAAUCUAAGCUCAGUGAGGAGGGAUAAGUCGUCACAAGGUA